rnacentral:rRNA from 1 species
ACUGCUCAGUAACACGUGGACAACCUGCCCUUAGGUUGGGUAUAAACCCGGGAAACUGGGUAUAAUACCCGAUAGGUCCCGAUUGCUGGAAUGCAUCGAGAUUUAAAGCUCCGGCGCCUAAGGAUGGGUCUGCGGCCUAUCAGGUAGUAGUGGGUGUAGCGUACCUACUAGCCUACGACGGGUACGGGUUGUGAGAGCAAGAGCCCGGAGAUGGAUUCUGAGACACGAAUCCAGGCCCUACGGGGUGCAGCAGGCGCGAAAACUUUACAAUGCUGGCAACAGCGAUAAGGGAACCUCGAGUGCCAGGUUACAAAUCUGGCUGUCGAGAUGCCUAAAAAGCAUUUCAUAGCAAGGGCCGGGCAAGACCGGUGCCAGCCGCCGCGGUAACACCGGCGGCUCGAGUGGUAACCGUUAUUAUUGGGUCUAAAGGGUCUGUAGCCGGCCGGAUAAGUCUCUUGAGAAAUCUGGCAGCUUAACUGUCAGGCUUUCAGGAGAUACUGUCUGGCUCGAGGCCGGGAGAGGUGAGAGGUACUUCAGGGGUAGGGGUGAAAUCUUGUAAUCCUUGAAGGACCACCAGUGGCGAAGGCGUCUCACCAGAACGGACCUGACGGCAAGGGACGAAAGCUAGGGGCACGAACCGGAUUAGAUACCCGGGUAGUCCUAGCCGUAAACGAUACUCGCUAGGUGUCGGCCACGGUGCGACCGUUGUCGGUGCCGUAGGGAAGCCGUGAAGCGAGCCACCUGGGAAGUACGGCCGCAAGGCUGAAACUUAAAGGAAUUGGCGGGGGAGCAC